UGGGGAAUAUUGGGCAAUGGGCGAAAGCCUGACCCAGCAACGCCGCGUGAGUGAUGAAGGCCUUCGGGUUGUAAAACUCUUUGGACAGGGACGAAGAAAGUGACGGUACCUGUAGAACAAGCCACGGCUAACUACGUGCCAGCAGCCGCGGUAAUACGUAGGUGGCGAGCGUUGUCCGGAAUUAUUGGGCGUAAAGGGUACGUAGGUGGUUUUUUAAGUCAGGUGUCAAAGCGUGGAGCUUAACUCCAUUAAGCACUUGAAACUGAAAGACUUGAGUGAAGGAGAGGAAAGUGGAAUUCCUAGUGUAGCGGUGAAAUGCGUAGAUAUUAGGAGGAAUACCGGUGGCGAAGGCGACUUUCUGGACUUUUACUGACGCUCAGGUACGAAAGCGUGGGGAGCGAACAGG
rnacentral:rRNA from 1 species